rnacentral:rRNA from 1 species
GACGAACGCUGGCGGCGUGCUUAACACAUGCAAGUCGAGCGGUAAGGCCCUUUCGGGGGUACACGAGCGGCGAACGGGUGAGUAACACGUGGGUGACCUGCCCUCAGCUCUGGGAUAAGCCUGGGAAACCGGGUCUAAUACUGGAUAUGACUCCAUGACGCAUGUUGUGGGGUGGAAAGCCUUGUGCGGCUGAGGAUGGGCCCGCGGCCUAUCAGCUUGUUGGUGGGGUGANGGCCUACCAAGGCGACGACGGGUAGCCGGCCUGAGAGGGCGACCGGCCACACUGGGACUGAGACACGGCCCAGACUCCUACGGGAGGCAGCAGUGGGGAAUCUUGCGCAAUGGGCGAAAGCCUGACGCAGCGACGCCGCGUGAGGGAUGACGGCCUGGUUGUAACCUACUUCUAGCNCGACGAAGACGAGAGUGACGGUAGGAGACGAGAAGAAGACGACC